GCAGCAGCCGCGGUAAUACGGAGGAUCCAAGCGUUAUCCGGAAUCAUUGGGUUUAAAGGGUCCGUAGGCGGUCUUGUAAGUCAGUGGUGAAAGCCCAUCGCUCAACGGUGGAACGGCCAUUGAUACUGCAGGACUUGAAUUAUUGGGAAGUAACUAGAAUAUGUAGUGUAGCGGUGAAAUGCUUAGAGAUUACAUGGAAUACCAAUUGCGAAGGCAGGUUACUACCAAUUGAUUGACGCUGAUGGACGAAAGCGUGGGUAGCGAACAGGAUUAGAUACCCGCGUAGUCCCUGUCUCUUAUAC
rnacentral:rRNA from 1 species